AUUGAACGCUGGCGGCAGGCCUAACACACGCAAGUCGAGCGGAUGACGGGAGCUUGCUCCCGGAUUCAGCGGCGGACGGGUGAGUAAUGCCUAGGAAUCUGCCUGGUAGUGGGGGACAACGUUUCGAAAGGAACGCUAAUACCGCAUACGUCCUACGGGAGAAAGCAGGGGACCUUCGGGCCUUGCGCUAUCAGAUGAGCCUAGGUCGGAUUAGCUAGUUGGUGAGGUAAUGGCUCACCAAGGCGACGAUCCGUAACUGGUCUGAGAGGAUGAUCAGUCACACUGGAACUGAGACACGGUCCAGACUCCUACGGGAGGCAGCAGUGGGGAAUAUUGGACAAUGGGCGAAAGCCUGAUCCAGCCAUGCCGCGUGUGUGAAGAAGGUCUUCGGAUUGUAAAGCACUUUAAGUUGGGAGGAAGGGCAGUAAGCGAAUACCUUGCUGUUUUGACGUUACCGACAGAAUAAGCACCGGCUAACUCUGUGCCAGCAGCCGCAGUAACAC
rnacentral:rRNA from 1 species